GGGCUCGGUCCGUCGGUGGACCCUCGUGGUCUUAAUCGGCGUGUCAACCGGCCCGCCCGUCCCCUCCUUCUGGAUUCCCGUUCCUGCUAUUGAGUUAGUGGGGACGUCACAGGGGGCUCAUCGUCGUCAUGCAAAUGGCGGCGGUGGGUCCCUGGGGCCCAGAUCGUUUACCGUGAAAAAAUUAGAGUGUUCAAAGCAGGCAGAUCCAAUUUUCUGCCACCGAAUACAUUAGCAUGGGAUAAUGGAAUAGGACCCUGUCCUCCUAUUUUCAGUUGGUUUUGGCAGCGCGAGGACUAGGGUAAUGAUUAAUAGGGAUAGUUGGGGGCAUUAAUAUUUAAUUGUCAGAGGUGAAAUUCUUGGAUUUAUGAAAGAUUAACUUCUGCGAAAGCAUCUGCCAAGGAUGUUUUCAUUAAUCAAGAACGAAAGUUAGGGGAUCGAAGACGAUCAGAUACCGUCGUAGUCUUAACCAUAAACGAUGCCGACCAGCGAUUAGGAGACGUUGAAUACAAAACACCACCAUCGGCGCGGUCGUCCUUGGCGUCUGUCCCUUUCAACGGGGGCAGGCGCGAGGGCGGUUUAGCCCGGUGGCACCGGUGAAUGACUCCCCUAGCAGCUUGUGAGAAAUCAUAAGUCUUUGGGUUCCGGGGGGAGUAGGUCGCAAGGCUAAACUUAAAGGAAUGACGGAAGGGCACCACCA
rnacentral:rRNA from 1 species